UACGUAGGGUGCAAGCGUUGUCCGGAAUUAUUGGGCGUAAAGAGCUCGUAGGCGGCUUGUCACGUCGACUGUGAAAACCCGGGGCUCAACUCCGGGCCUGCAGUCGAUACGGGCUGGCUUGAGUGCGGUAGGGGAGACUGGAAUUCCUGGUGUAGCGGUGGAAUGCGCAGAUAUCAGGAGGAACACCGGUGGCGAAGGCGGGUCUCUGGGCCGAUACUGACGCUGAGGAGCGAAAGCGUGGGGAGCGAACAGG
rnacentral:rRNA from 1 species